UUCCGGUUGAUCCCGCCGGACCCGACUGCUAUUUGGGUGAGGAUAAGCCAUGCGAGUCGAAUGGGAUGCCCAAAAUUCCCAUGGCAAACUGCUCAGUAACACAUGAUCAACUUACCCUAUAGAGAAAAAUAACCUCGGGAAACUGAGGAUAAUGUUUCAUAAUUGAAUCGGCUUGGAAAAGUUUUUCAAUUAAAAGAAUAAGAAAAAAUGGUUCUUGUUCGCUAUAGGAUAGGAUCGUGGACGAUUAUGGUUGUUGGUGAGGUAACGGCUCACCAAGCCGAUAAUCGAUAGGGGCCGUGAGAGCGGGAGCCCCGAGAUGGGUACUGAGACAACGACCCAGGCCUUACGAGGCGCAGCAGGCGCGGAACCUCCGCAAUACACGAAAGUGUGACGGGGUUACCCAAAGUGUUCAUUAUUGAACUGUGGUAGGUGAGUAAUGUUCCCUACUAGAAAGGAGAGGGCAAGGCUGGUGCCAGCCGCCGCGGUAAAACCAGCUCUUCAAGUGGUCGGGAUAAUUAUUGGGCUUAAAGUGUCCGUAGCUGGUUUAGUAAGUUCCUGGUAAAAUCGGGUAGCUUAACUAUCCGUAUGCUAGGAAUACUGCUAUACUAGAGGGCGGGAGAGGUCUGAGGUACUACAGGGGUAGGGGUGAAAUCUUAUAAUCCUUGUAGGACCACCAGUGGCGAAGGCGUCAGACUGGAACGCGCCUGACGGUGAGGGACGAAAGCCAGGGGAGCGAACCGGAUUAGAUACCCGGGUAGUCCUGGCCGUAAACGAUGCAUACUAGGUGAUGGUACGGCCAUGAGCCGUAUCAGUGCCGUAGGGAAACCGUUAAGUGUGCCGCCUGGGAAGUACGGUCGCAAGGCUAAAACUUAAAGGAAUUGGCGGGGGAGCACCACAAGGGGUGAAGCCUGCGGUUCAAUUGGAUUCAACGCCGGG
rnacentral:rRNA from 1 species